rnacentral:rRNA from 1 species
GCAAGUCGAACGGUAGCAGUUCUUCGGGAGCUGACGAGUGGCGAACGGGUGAGUAACGCGUAGGAAUAUACCUUUUUGUGGGGGACAACUCGUGGAAACGCGAGCUAAUACCGCAUGUGGUCUUCGGAGCAAAGCUGGGGACCUUCGGGCCUGGCGCAAAGAGAUUAGCCUGCGUCCGAUUAGCUAGUUGGUAGGGUAAAGGCCUACCAAGGCGACGAUCGGUAGCUGGUCUGAGAGGAUGAUC